rnacentral:rRNA from 1 species
UGGGGAAUAUUGCACAAUGGAGGGAACUCUGAUGCAGCGACGCCGCGUGAACGAAGAAGGCUUUCGAGUUGUAAAGUUCUUUUAUAUGGGAAGAUAAUGACGGUACCAUAAGAAAAAGCCCCGGCUAACUACGUGCCAGCAGCCGCGGUAAUACGUAGGGGGCUAGCGUUGUCCGGAAUCACUGGGCGUAAAGGGUUCGCAGGCGGAAAUGCAAGUCAGGUGUAAAAGGCAGUAGCUUAACUACUGUAAGCAUUUGAAACUGCAUAUCUUGAGAAGAGUAGAGGUAAGUGGAAUUUUUAGUGUAGCGGUGAAAAGCGUAGAGAUUAAAAAGAAUACCGGUGGCGAAGGCGACUUACUGGGCUCAUUCUGACGCUGAGGAACGAGAGCGUGGGUAGCAAACAGG